rnacentral:rRNA from 1 species
UGGGGAAUAUUGCACAAUGGAGGGAACUCUGAUGCAGCGACGCCGCGUGAACGAAGAAGGCUUUCGAGUCGUAAAGUUCUUUUAUAUGGGAAGAUAAUGACGGUACCAUAAGAAAAAGCCCCGGCUAACUACGUGCCAGCAGCCGCGGUAAUACGUAGGGGGCUAGCGUUGUCCGGAAUCACUGGGCGUAAAGGGUUCGCAGGCGGAAAUGCAAGUCAGGAGUAAAAGGCAGUAGCUUAACUACUGUAAGCAUUUGAAACUGCAUAUCUUGAGAAGAGUAGAGGUAAGUUGAAUUUUUAGUGUAGCGGUGAAAUGCGUAGAUAUUAAAAAGAAUACCGGUGGCGAAGGCGGCUUACUGGGCUCAUUCUGACGCUGAGGAACGAAAGCGUGGGUAGCAAACAGG